ACGUCCCUGCCCUUUGUACACACCGCCCGUCGCUACUACCGAUUGAAUGGCUUAGUGAGACCCUCGGAUUGGCUUAUGGUGGUUGGAAACAGCUUGCCGUUCGUUGAAAAGUUGGUCAUCAGCUCGCGUUGAUUACGUCCCUGCCCUUUGUACACACCGCCCGUCGCUACUACCGAUUGAAUGGCUUAGUGAGACCCUCGGAUUGGCUUAUGGUGGUUGGAAACAGCUUGCCGUUCGUUGAAAAGUUGGUCAAACUUGGUCAUUUAGAGGAAGUAAAAGUCGUAACAAGGUUUCCGUAGGUGAACCUGCGGAAGGAUCAUUAAAAAACGGGGAGGCGUGCUCUCGUUUCUCUUGGAAUCGUGACACGUCUCCUUUUAGUAUCCAAAUUCAUUAUUUUUUGCUUCGGAAUCCGGCUAUUACAUGCUAGAUUCAAAAAUCCAAUCUAAACAGAACUUUCAACAAUGGAUCUCUUGGCUCUUGCAUCGAUGAAGAACGCAGUGAAGUGCGAUAUGUAGUGUGAAUUGCAGAAUUCCGUGAAUCAUCGAAUCUUUGAACGCAUAUUGCGCUCUCUGGUAUUCCGGAGAGUAUGCCUAUUUGAGGGUCAUUUGAAACAUAAAUUCUAGAUUUCUUAGAAAAAAAUGGGUUUUCCAGAUUUAUGGUUACCUAAAAUACAAGACAUGCUCAUUUUUUUGGGUUACGUGAUACUUGUUAUUCGUGACUUUCCGAGAGAUAUGUAGGCGUGUUGUAGUUUUGCAAAAGCGAAUGGAAUUUGUUUCUGCAAAAUAUAAUCAAUUGAAUCUUGACCUCAAAUUAGGUAGGAGUACCCGCUGAACUUAAGCAUAUCAAUAAGCGGAGGAAAAGAAACUAACAAGGAUUCCCUUAGUAACGGCGAGUGAAGUGGGAAUGGCUCAAAUUUUAAAUCCGAUCGGGAAACCGGUCCGAAUUGUAAUUUAAAGAAGCGUUUACAGCGUUCUCUCGGGUAUAGGUCCCUUGGAAUAGGGCAUCAUUGAGGGUGAGAAUCCCGUCUGUGACUCGAGUUCGGGUGCGAUACGUGACGCUUUCGAUGAGUCGAGUUGUUUGGGAUUGCAGCUCAAAAUGGGUGGUAAAUUCCAUCUAAGGCUAAAUAAUUGCAAGAGACCGAUAGCGAACAAGUACCGUGAGGGAAAGAUGAAAAGAACUUUGAAAAGAGAGUUAAACAGUACGUGAAAUUGUUGAAAGGGAAACGAUUGAAGCCAGUCGUGCCGGUGGGAAAUCAGCUUCCGGGAUUCCUGGGGGUGCACUUUCUCGCAAGGCAGGUUAGCGUCAGUUUCGCCAGUCGUAAAAAGUCCGUCGGAAUGUGACUCCUUUCGGAGUGUUAUAGCCAGCGGUCAAUGCGACGUGCGGGACUGAGGAUUGCAGCGGGUGCCUUUCGAGGCUGCCUUUCGGGGCUAUGUGCCUAGCUCUUGUUUGUGAUCGUCUUGGUAGCAGCUUGCUGGUGCCGAGCCCGAUUCGUGGACACGGGGUAUAGCGUCACGGUAAACUCGCUAAGGAUGCUGACGUAAUGGCUUUAAACGACCCGUCUUGAAACACGG
rnacentral:sRNA from 1 species